rnacentral:rRNA from 1 species
GAUCAAGCUACUAAGGGCAGAUGGUGAAUGCCUUGGUGCCAAGAGGCGAGGAAGGACGUAGCAAGCUGCGAUAAGCCGCGGGUAGCCGCAAGCAGGCUCUAAUCCGCGGAUCUCCGAAUGGGACAACCCAGCCGUCUUAAUCGGCGGCUAUCGCCGGAUGAAUUCAUAGUCCGGCGAGGCGACACGGGGUGAAGUGAAACAUCUCAGUAACCCCAGGAAAAGAAAGCGAAGCGAUUCCGUAAGUAGUGGCGAGCGAAAGCGGAACAGCCUAAACCGGGAAGACUUGUCUUCCCGGGGUUGUGGGACCUCCGCAAGGGAGGCGGGAGGCGAGCUUAACCCUUUGGAAAGAGGGGCCAUAGACCGUGACAGCCGGGUGAGCGAAGUCCGACGCCCUCGGGAGGGAUCCCAAGUAGCACGGUGCACGUGAAACUCUGUGCGAAUCCGUCCGGACCACCGGAUAAGGCUAAAUACUCCUUGGCGACCGAUAGUGAACUAGUACCGCGAGGGAAAGGUGAAAAGAACCCCUGUUAGGGGAGUGAAAUAGGACCUGCAACCAUUUGCCUACAAGGUGUGGGAGUCCCGCUUUUGCGGGAUGACCGCUUGCCUUUUGCAUAAUGAGUCUGCGAGUUAUUGUCCGUGGCCAGCCUAAGCGGUUGAGCCGCGCAGGCGAAGGGAAACCGAGUGCGAAACGCGCGUCCAGUCGCGGGCAAUAGACCCGAAGCGGAGGUGAUCUACUUUUGAGCAGGUUGAAGCCUGGGUAACACCAGGUGGAGGACCGAACUCGUGGAUGUUGAAAAAUCCUGAGAUGACUUGAGAGUAGGAGCGAAAGACUAAUCAAACCCCGUGAUAGCUGGUUCUCUCCGAAAUAGCUUGAGGGCUAGCGUUGGGUAAGUACUCCAUGGAGGUAGAGCACUGGAUGGCUUAGGGACCCCACCAGGUUACCAAAACCAAUCAAACUCCGAAUACCAUGGAUCCCGUUAUCCCAGCAUUCAGACGGCGGGGGCUAAGCUCCGUCGUCGAGAGGGCAACAGCCCAGACCGCCAGCUAAGGUGCCCAAAUACCGCUCAGUGGAAAGGAUGUGACGUUGCGGAGACAGUGAGGAUGUUGGCUUAGAGGCAGCCAUCAUUUAAACAGUGCGUAAUAGCUGACUCAUCGAGCGAUGUCGCGCCGAAGAUGAUUGGCGAUAAGCGGUAUACCGAAGCUGCGGAUUUCGUCCCGAUGCGUCGGGGCGGAGUGGUAGGAGAGCGUGACCAGCGCUGUGAAGCCGGACGGGAACGGACGGUGGAGCGCUGGCCAGUGAGAAUGCAGACACGAGUAGCGAUAAACCAGAUGAGAAUUCUGGUCGCCGUAAACCCAAGGUUUCCUGGGGCAGGUUCGUCCUCCCAGGGUUAGUCGGGAGCUAAGACGAGGCCGUAAGGCGUAGUCGAUGCCCAGCAGUUUAAUAUUCCUGCACCGACUCGGGUUAAGGCCGGAGAGGACGCAGAGAGAAACGUGGCUAUGUCAUCGAAAGACGGAGCCUAGGCUUCGGCCGAAGCGCACCACGGGACGAUCUGCCGAGAAAAGUCUCCGGUUGUUCCCCGGGCCGCCCGUACCGCAAACCGACACAGGUGGGUGAGUGUAAAUGCACUCAGGCGCGCGAGAGAAACCUCUCUAAGGAACUCGGCACAUUAGCCCCGUAACUUCGGAAGAAGGGGUGCCUGGAUCGUGGCAGCAAUGUUGCGAAUUCAGGUCUCAGUAAAUUGCGCUUAGCGACUGUUUAACAAAAACACAGCACUCUGCAAAGUCGUGAAGACGACGUAUAGGGUGUGACACGUGACCAAUGCGGAAAGAUUAAGGCAUCUUGUUAGUCCCGCGCGAGCGGGGCGAGGCUCGGUGUCCAAGUCCCCGUGAAUGUCGGCCGUAACUAUAACGGUCCUAAGGUAGCGAAAUUCCUUGUCGGGUAAGUUCCGACCUGCACGAAUCGUGUAACGACUAAGCGACUGUCUCGGAGAGGAUCUCGGCGAAACUGUAAUUGCGGUGAAGAUGCCGCAUGCCCGCAGUAGGACGGAAAGACCCUAUGCACCUUUACUGUAAGCUGGUAUUGUGUUCUGGUUAUUGAUGCGUAGCGUAGGUGGGAGACUUCGAAGGCGUGGCUUAGGUCGCGCUGGAGUCGUAAUGUGAAACACCACUCUUGAAUAAUUAGGAUUCUAACUUCGGCCUGUCAUCCAGGCGAAGGACAGUGCCUGCGGGUCAGUUUGACUGGGGCGGUUUCCUCCCAAAAAGUAACGGAGGAGCGCGAAGCUCGGCUCAGCACGGUUGGCAACCGUGUGAUGAGGGUAUGGCUAGAAGCCGGGUUGACUGCGAGACCUACAGGUCGAGCAGGUGCGAAAGCAGGCCCAAAUGAUCCGAUGGUUGAAUGUGGAAUUGCCAUCGCUCAACGGACAAAAGGUACGCUAGGGAUAACAGGCUGAUCGGGUCCAAGAGUUCAUAUCGACGACCCGGUUUGGCACCUCGAUGUCGGCUCAUCGCAUCCUGGGGCUGGAGAAGGUCCCAAGGGUCCGGCUGUUCGCCGGUUAAAGCGGUACGCGAGCUGGGUUCAGAACGUCGUGAGACAGUUCGGUCGUUAUCCACUGUGGGCGUAGGAAACUUGAGGGGUUCAUUCCCUAGUACGAGAGGACCGGGAAUGACGCACUUCUGGUGUGGCAGUUGUUCCGUCAGGGGCAGCGCUGCGUAGCCAUGUGCGGACGAGAUAAGCGCUGAAAGCAUCUAAGUGCCAAGCUCUUCCCAAGAUAGGGUUUCCCCGGGCAGGCAAUCCGCAAGGGUUGUUUUGCCCCUAAAGACCACCGGUAGACUACCGGUUUGAUAGGUCAGGCGUGUAAGCGCGGCAACGCGUUCAGCGGACUGAUACUAAUCGGUCGUGAGGCUUGAUCGC